GAAUUCAAUACAAUUUUUGAGAAAAACUACAAUCAGAAACAUGUAGUCCUUCUGCAAUAGGACUUCAGAGUCUGAAUCAAAUAUUUUAUUGAAUUUGUAGUCUAACUUUCAAUUUUCAAUUAGACAAAUAUAGUGAAACAUUGUCGUAGCCUGCCUUGGAAUUAAGUGAAUAUAUUUUUGAGUUUAAUAACCAUUUGGAUGUAAAGCCAUUUAACUAUUUGAAUACAUUUGUAUUGUCUCUUAAUCAAAUCGAAUUUAUUUUGGAAACAGAGAUAAGAAAACCAGAAAAUUGCAUAUAAAUAUAAUAAAUGUCCAAAAAUGCUAAAUGAACCUUUUCAAAAAGUUAUGGUGGCCUAAAAUUAAACGUAGCUAUUAAGUAACGAGUGAAUGUACAUUUUGUUUUGUGUAAAGAGUAAAGAGUCGGAAGCCAAUCAAUCGGAAACUUCCCUGCCUGGAAAUUUCUAAGUUUUCCAUGUGAAUGAAAUGCAAUCGAAUAAUUCUGUUUGCAUUAGUUUUCCGUAGGAAUUGUACAACUUAAAAUAGUAUGAUUUUUUUUUAAUUUCAUCCAAUAGAAAAGUAUCGUCAGCAUUCAAGUUAGUUUUGAAUUCGAAAAACUACUGUGUUUUAAAAGUGUUUUAGACAAAACGAUAUAAAUUUUCACUCAACGGCCACAAAAUGCUCGUCCACAAUCCAAUUAUAGCAGAAUGCUCAUGCUUUGGAGAUAGCUCCUAAAAUUGGUGACGGGUCAGUGGGAUGGGCAGGAAGCUGGUGGCUGCUAGCUGGCAGUUGGCCGGCUUGUACGUUCGGCUGUUAUGGUUGGCAAUAUUUAAAAUUAUUUAAUUAACGAAUUGAGUUAUGCUGCCAUUGCCCAUAGCCCCGGCCGGAGACGAGGCCAAUAGCCAGCCCCCCGCCCCGGCACACUCGGACCGCAUUUUAAGCCCGCCUGGAAUGGUAAUUUAAAUCCGAACUCCGGAUGCGAUUGGGGCUCGGACUCACAUACUUUGUUAUCUGGGGGCUUUCCGUGCUU